UACGGAGGGGGCUAGCGUUGUUCGGAAUUACUGGGGCGUAAAAGCGCACGUAGGCGGCUUUGUAAGUUAGAGGUGAAAGCCCGGGGCUCAACCCCCGGAAUUGCCUUUAAGACUGCAUCGCUAGAAUUGUGGAGAGGUAAGUGGAAUUCCGAGUGUAGAGGUGAAAAUUCGUAGAUAUUCGGAAGAACACCAGUGGCGAAGGCGACUUACUGGACACAUAUUGACGCUGAGGUGCGAAAAGCGUGGGGGAGCAAACAGG
rnacentral:rRNA from 1 species